GAUGAACGCUAGCUACAGGCUUAACACAUGCGAGUCGAGGGGCAGCAUGGUCUUAGCUUGCUAAGGCCGAUGGCGACCGGCGCACGGGUGAGUAACACGUAUCCAACCUGCCGUCUACUCUUGGACAGCCUUCUGAAAGGAAGAUUAAUACAAGAUGGCAUCAUGAGUCCGCAUGUUCACAUGAUUAAAGGUAUUCCGGUAGACGAUGGGGAUGCGUUCCAUUAGAUAGUAGGCGGGGUAACGGCCCACCUAGUCUUCGAUGGAUAGGGGUUCUGAGAGGAAGGUCCCCCACAUUGGAACUGAGACACGGUCCAAACUCCUACGGGAGGCAGCAGUGAGGAAUAUUGGUCAAUGGGCGCAGGCCUGAACCAGCCAAGUAGCGUGAAGGAUGACUGCCCUAUGGGUUGUAAACUUCUUUUAUAAAGGAAUAAAGUCGGGUAUGUAUACCCGUUUGCAUGUACUUUAUGAAUAAGGAUCGGCUAACUCCGUG
rnacentral:rRNA from 1 species